rnacentral:rRNA from 1 species
GAUGAACGCUGGCGGCGUGCCUAAUACAUGCAAGUCGAGCGAACAGACGAGGAGCUUGCUCCUCUGACGUUAGCGGCGGACGGGUGAGUAACACGUGGAUAACCUACCUAUAAGACUGGGAUAACUUCGGGAAACCGGAGCUAAUACCGGAUAAUAUAUUGAACCGCAUGGUUCAAUAGUGAAAGACGGUUUUGCUGUCACUUAUAGAUGGAUCCGCGCCGCAUUAGCUAGUUGGUAAGGUAACGGCUUACCAAGGCAACGAUGCGUAGCCGACCUGAGAGGGUGAUCGGCCACACGGGAACUGAGCCACGGUCCAGACUCCUAAGGGAGGCAGCAGUAGGGAAUCUUCCGCAAUGGGCGAAAGCCUGACGGAGCAACGCCGCGUGAGUGAUGAAGGUCUUCGGAUCGUAAAACUCUGUUAUUAGGGAAGAACAAAUGUGUAAGUAACUAUGCACGUCUUGACGGUACCUAAUCAGAAAGCCACGGCUAACUACGUG